UAAUAAUAAUUUCCAUCCAACCAAAUACUGUAGGUAGGAUUUUCAGCAACUUUGUCACUUGCUAAAUCCAGGUUGAUGGUAGUCUACUAUAUCUACUAAGAACCAAAUAUUUCCUCUGCUCACAUCUCUAAAAAUAGUGCUGCCCAUGAACAACUACUGUUCUGUCUCUACAUACUGAUGUUGUUAUUUGUUACAGUGAGACCUGGAAUAUGUCCUCCUGCUAUCGAAAUAGGGUGUCUUGAACCUCAGAAAGAUACAUGCAAAAUGGAUGCAAACUGCCCAUGGCCAGAGAAAUGCUGUUAUCAACCCUGUUCUCUUCGUUGUGUGAAUCCUAUAAAAAGGAUAAACUAAUACCUUGGUGUGGACCUAUGGAAAUCAUGCCUUGAAAAACCAUCCAUUGCCUCCCUCUACUGGCUUAUAAAAAAGAUUGAAUGAUGGUUCUAAAUAUAUUGUGCCCAUGCAACAACA